UGUAGAAUGAAUGAGUGAAUGUAGAGUGAAUGAGUGAAUGUAGAGUGAAUAUCCUCUUGGAUCCUCUGACUUGAUGAGUUCAGGUCGUUUACCAACAUCUGAUGCUGAUUGAUUGUCUCUCUAACUGUCCUCUGUCUCCUCAGCAGGGACAGACCAGGUCCAACCAGAGGACACCAGAACCAGAAUAAUCUCCAUUGAUCCGACUCCACUGAUGGCUGAUCAAUCAGUCUGAUCAGGUUGAUCAUCUCUGAUCAUUGAUCCAGUCAGACUUUGGAUCAGAGCCGAUCUCAGUGAAGGUUCUGAUGGACCAACAGAGACACUUCCUGGUCCUCUGGUCCAAUCAGUAACAGGAUGCAGCCUCUGAUUGAUCACUAUUGAUUAUUGAUGACAGAAUGAAGAUCUGAAGGAACUGAAUCAUUUCUGAUGCCUGAGGAACCAGUUCAUGACUGGAACUGGAACUGGAACCGGUUUGGAUCCAUUAAAGGAGAAGAGUUCUGUCUGACCAGAACCAUCAUCUUCCUCUUCCUCUUCUUUCUUUUUCAUCAUGUAUUCAAACACAAACUGGAAAAAUCUCUCAACUUUGUACUUCCAGUCCAGAAUUUGCAGCUUUUGACCUGGAGAUAUUUUUUGCCUUUAUGGUUUAUUUAAGAUUCAGUUCCACUCAUUAUUACAUUUAUUAACUUUUAUUAGAUUAUAAUGUAGACAGAUUAUUAUGGUCCUGGAUUAUAAUCUAACUCUGGGUUUCUAGACAGGCCUAAUCUGUCUAUCUCUAUUUCUAUAUGAAUCCAGCCUCAUUAAUGUGCUUUCAAUACAAAUAAUAGAAGCUUUUUUAUUUCACAUUUUUAUUUUAAACAUGAAUUGAAUAUAAACGUGAAGGCCUACUGAUGCC